rnacentral:misc_RNA from 1 species
AACGCAAAUUGCGCUUUCCGGAUAGGCCGGGGAGCAUGCCUCUUUGAGUCUCGUUUCUACCUCAUCUCGAAUGCUUUUUUGUGAAUAACGAAGAAUGCAGUCGGAUAAUGAGCGUCUCAUUCGAAAUGAGUGAGUCGCUUUAAGAAGCGUGAGUUCCUAAACUCCUAGUUUGAAGUCGAUUUAUCGGCUGCCUUUUGAUAGGUAAUUACAACUAGUGACGUGGAUAAAUUUAUUUUUCAACGUCGCAUGGUUAUAAUGAUCUGUCUUAAUGGUUAACUUACAUAAGGAAACCUGGUUCUCAAUGGAAAUUAAAUUCUUUUUUGAAUUAGAGCUCAAAUGAAGCAAGAUUACCCGCUGAACUUAA